GAUGAAGAACGCAGCGAAAUGCGAUACUUGGUGUGAAUUGCAGAAUCCCGUGAACCAUCGAGUCUUUGAACGCAAGUUGCGCCUCAAGCCAUUAGGUUGAGGGCACGUCUGCCUGGGCGUCACAUAUCGUUGCCUGAUGCCAGUUUCCUCGUGAUGGGUGACUGUGCAGGGCGAAUGAUGGCUUCCCGUGAGCAUUGUUGCCUCAUGGUUGGUUGAAAAUUGAGUCCUUGGUAGGGAGCGCCGUGAUAGAUGGUGGUUGAGUGACGAACGAGACCCAAUCAUGUGAGACCCCUACCGAAUUUGGCAUUCAUGACCCACAUGCGUCUUUGGAACGCUCAUGACGAGACCUCAGGUCAGGCGGGGCUACCCGCUGAGUUUAAGCAUAUCAAUAAGCGGAGGA
rnacentral:misc_RNA from 1 species